CGCGUAGGCGGUUAUUUAAGUCAGCUGUGAAAGCCCCGGGCUCAACCUGGGAACUGCAGUUGAUACUGGCCGACUAGAGUACGAGAGAGGGAGGUAGAAUUCCAUGUGUAGCGGUGAAAUGCGUAGAUAUAUGGAGGAAUACCAGUGGCGAAGGCGGCCUCCUGGCUCGAUACUGACGCUGAGGUGCGAAAGCGUGGGGAUCAAACAGGAUUAGAUACCCUGGUAGUCC
rnacentral:rRNA from 1 species